UACGGAGGGGGCAAGCGUUAUUCGGAAUUAUUGGGCGUAAAGGGCGCGUAGGCGGCUAGAUGUGUCAAAGGUGAAAUCCCUCGGCUCAACUGAGGAACUGCCUUUGAAACUGUCUGGCUUGAGGCCGGGAGAGGGUAGCGGAAUUCCCAGUGUAGCGGUGAAAUGCGUAGAUAUUGGGAGGAACACCAGUGGCGAAGGCGGCUACCUGGACCGGUUCUUGACGCUGAGGCGCGAAAGCUAGGGGAGCAAACGGG
rnacentral:rRNA from 1 species